GAUAUCCAGCGCGGCGACGGUGCCUCGGGAAACCGGGGUGAAAAGGGAAGCCGGUUCCAAUCCGGCGCUGUGCCCGCAACUGUGCGCGGUGAGCCUCGCGUCGAGCCACUGGAUCACUUCGGAUCCGGGAAGGUGACGCGGACAGGGCUAAGACCCGCAAGCCAGGAGACCUGCCGUCGCCGUCGUCCAUGC
rnacentral:ncRNA from 2 species